rnacentral:rRNA from 1 species
UAGGGAAUCUUCCGCAAUGGGCGAAAGCCUGACGGAGCAACGCCGCGUGAGUGAUGAAGGUCUUCGGAUCGUAAAACUCUGUUAUUAGGGAAGAACAAAUGUGUAAGUAACUAUGCACGUCUUGACGGUACCUAAUCAGAAAGCCACGGCUAACUACGUGCCAGCAGCCGCGGUAAUACGUAGGUGGCAAGCGUUAUCCGGAAUUAUUGGGCGUAAAGCGCGCGUAGGCGGUUUUUUAAGUCUGAUGUGAAAGCCCACGGCUCAAACGUGGAGGGUCAUUGGAAUCUGGCAAACUUGAGUGCAGAAGAGGAAAGUGGAAGUCCAUGUGUAGCGGUGAAAUGCGCAGAGAUAUGGAGGAACACCAGUGGCGAAGGCGACUUUCUGGUCUGUAACUGACGCUGAUGUGCGAAAGCGUGGGGAUCAAACAGG